rnacentral:rRNA from 1 species
AAGAGGCCCUUCGGGUUUUAAGUACUUUUCAGCCGUGAGGAAAGGGGAUGUUGUUAAUAGCGGCUUUUUUUGACGUUAGCUCAGAAGAAAGCCACUGGCUGACUCCAUACCAGCAGCCGCGGUAAUACGGAGGGGUCGAGCGUAAUCGGAAUUACUGGGCCGUAAAAGCGCAUGCAGGUGGUUUGUUAAAGUCAGAUGUGAAAGCCCGGGGCUCAACCUCGGAACUGCAUUUGAAACUGGCAAACUAGAGUACUGUAGAGGGGGGUAGAAUUUCAGGUGUAGCGGUGAAAUGCGUAGAGAUCUGAAGGAAUACCAGUGGCGAAGGCGGCCCCCUGGACAGAUACUGACACUCAGAUGCGAAAGCGUGGGGAGCAAACAGGAUUAGAUACCCUGGUAGUCCACGCCGUAAACGAUGUCUACUUGGAGGUUGUGGCCUUGAGCCGUGGCUUUCGGAGCUAACGCGUUAAGUAGACCGCCUGGGGAGUACGGUCGCAAGAUUAAAACUCAAAUGAAUUGACGGGGGCCCGCACAAGCGGUGGAGCAUGUGGUUUAAUUCGAUGCAACGCGAAGAACCUUACCUACUCUUGACAUCCAGAGAACUUAGCAGAGAUGCUUUGGUGCCUUCGGGAACUCUGAGACAGGUGCUGCAUGGCUGUCGUCAGCUCGUGUUGUGAAAUGUUGGGUUAAGUCCCGCAACGAGCGCAACCCUUAUCCUUGUUUGCCAGCGAGUAAUGUCGGGAACUCCAGGGAGACUGCCGGUGAUAAACCGGAGGAAGGUGGGGACGACGUCAAGUCAUCAUGGCCCUUACGAGUAGGGCUACACACGUGCUACAAUGGCGCAUACAGAGGGCAGCCAACUCGCGAGAGUGAGCGAAUCCCAAAAAGUGCGUCGUAGUCCGGAUUGGAGUCUGCAACUCGACUCCAUGAAGUCGGAAUCGCUAGUAAUCGUAGAUCAGAAUGCUACGGUGAAUACGUUCCCGGGCCUUGUACACACCGCCCGUCACACCAUGGGAGUGGGCUGCAAAAGAAGUGGGUAGCUCAACUAUGUGGUAACACGCUCACCGGAGUCGAACAGUCG